AGAGACUUAGGAUAACAACCAGACCAAGAGCCUUCAAAGCCCUAAGCGAGGGUGAAAACCCCUCAGUCUCUG
rnacentral:tRNA from 1 species